GGUCACAUCAUAUUGAAGCACUGGUUCCCAUAUGGUCACCAAAGUUAAUCAGCAAUGAGCUCUAUCAGUACCUGGAUGGGUGACCCUUUGGGAGUACCAGGUAUUGUCAG